UACAGAGGGGGCAAGCGUUGUUCGGAAUUACUGGGCGUAAAGGGCGCGUAGGCGGCCUGCUAAGUCGAACGUGAAAUCCCUGGGCUCAACCCAGGAAUUGCGUCCGAUACUGGUUGGCUUGAAUCCGGGAGAGGGAUGUGGAAUUCCAGGUGUAGCGGUGAAAUGCGUAGAUAUCUGGAGGAACACCGGUGGCGAAGGCGACAUCCUGGACCGGUAUUGACGCUGAGGCGCGAAAGCCAGGGGAGCAAACGGG
rnacentral:rRNA from 1 species